AAUAAAGUUAAGGGAUCAUGACCAAGUGCUGGUUUAUGGCUCUGAAGAAACUACACGGAGGGCAGUAAGGAGAUUCAAAUAUAAAAGGGCCAAGAGAGAAGCUGCAAAGGAAGAAAACUCCACAGGUAUUGAUUUUCGUGACAAUUGUAAUGUUUUGCAGAUUCAUGAAAAAAGGAAGGUUUGCAAGGAGGAAUCAACCCUUUCA
rnacentral:lncRNA from 1 species